rnacentral:rRNA from 1 species
UACGAAGGGGGCUAGCGUUGCUCGGAAUCACUGGGCGUAAAGCGCACGUAGGCGGAUUGUUAAGUCAGGGGUGAAAUCCUGGAGCUCAACUCCAGAACUGCCUUUGAUACUGGCGAUCUCGAGUCCGGGAGAGGUGAGUGGAACUGCGAGUGUAGAGGUGAAAUUCGUAGAUAUUCGCAAGAACACCAGUGGCGAAGGCGGCUCACUGGCCCGGUACUGACGCUGAAGUGCGAAAGCGUGGGGAGCAAACAGG